rnacentral:lncRNA from 1 species
GAUGAACCGGAGGCCGCACCGAGCUGCAAACUCCUCUUCCCAUCUCUGUCCUUCUCAGCCACGUUCUCCAGUGCGUGUAACAGCUCUCGCCCCACCUCGCUUCGCUCUAUCUCCGAAGUCCCAACCCUAGGGAGAAAAGGGUGGGAUAGAUCCCCGAGGGCGGUAAGGGCAACGGCGGCAGUGGUGAAGACCUGUUUCAAGAAGAGCCGGAGU